rnacentral:rRNA from 1 species
UACGGUGGGGGCAAGCGUUGUUCGGAAUUACUGGGCGUAAAGGGCUUGUAGGUGGCCAACUAAGUCGGACGUGAAAUCCCUCGGCUUAACCGGGGAACUGCGUCCGAUACUGGCUGGCUUGAGUUUGGGAGAGGGAUGCGGAAUUCCAGGUGUAGCGGUGAAAUGCGUAGAUAUCUGGAGGAACACCGGUGGCGAAGGCGGCAUCCUGGACCAAUACUGACGCUGAGGAGCGAAAGCCAGGGGAGCAAACGGG